rnacentral:rRNA from 1 species
AUGCGCCAGCCACUCUCCGCCGCUACAGCUGCUAAGCUUCACCGCGCUGGCCUCCUGCUCCAUCGCUGCUCUGCCAUGGCCGCGUUGCUGCGCUGUCCUUCGGCAGGCGAGCUCAGGCCAGCGCUGCGCCCUCCUUUUCCCCCAGCGCCCGCUCAGCCCGGGCCUGCUGCUUCGCUCGGCCACGCCGGCUUCGUUCCGCGCCGCGCUCGGCCACCUCCGCCCGGUGCUGCAUCCCUCCGCCGUCCUCUACACCGGGUGCUCCUGAGCGCCGCAUCCGGCCUCGCCUGGCCUCCGCCGGCUCCGACGCGGGCCGUGUGCACCGCUCGUCCGCGCCGUCUGCGCCCGUGCGUGGCCGGGUUCUCCACCCCCGCCGACUCCGCCCUGCCGCGCCCGCGCCGGGUGCUCCCCUCUCGCGCGUCGGCCCCGCCGUUCGCCGAUGGCCGGGUCCGCCUCCACGCGCACUGGCCGGCUCCCCCGCUCCCUCGCUGCGUGGCUGCCGCGUCCCGUCCGCCUACUGAGCGCGCCUCCCGCAUCGCCGUCUGCCUGCUGGCCCCCGGCCGCGCCUGGCCGCCUCCGUCUCGCGCGCACACCGGGCCCCCUCCGUCACGCCCGGCUCCGGCUGUGUCGCGCUUGCCCGGCCUCUCCAGCAGCCGGCUUCGCCGCAGUCCGGCCCGCGCGCCGCCCGGCUUCGCCUCCGUCGGGUGCGCCCGCGGCCGCCUGCUUCGCAGCCGGCCGCCGUCUCCCUCCCGCGUCGCCCGGCUCUGUUCGCGCGACCGGCUUCGCCAGCGCCUGGCGGCCGGGUCGUCGCGCCCCUCCGCUCCGCCCUGGUCGCAACCCGACUCCGGGUGCUCGGCUCGCCGUCCGGCUCCCCCGCUGGCCCGCUUGCUGCCUCACCUCUGGGCGCCCGUGUGCGCCUCAGCCGGCUCCCGCUGUUCGCUGCCGCAGCCUGUCGGUGUUGUUCGGGCAGCCGAGAGAAAGAAAGAAAGAAAGUGGCCGGGUGGUGGCGUCCGGCUGCUCGCAUGCAGUCGGACAAAGAGAAAGAAAGAAAGGGGCCGGGUGGUGGUGUUGGCUGCUCGCAUGCAGUCGGACAAAGAAAAAAGAAGAAAGAAAAAGAAAAAGGCCGACUGCCCGCUGCAAAAAAAAAAGAAAGAGAUAUGCGUUCGACUGCACGCAGCCGACUGGAAUUUGCGUCCAAAUGCCAGAUGCGCGUCCGACUGCCUGCACCCGGCUGAAAAUUGCGUCUGA